CGCCAGGUGGUCGAGUGGUUAAGUCGGUAGACCAGGACACUACUAAACAAUCGCCAUGGCCACGACGGCGCCUAGGCGCGGGUUCGAUUCCCGCGCUCAGCAA